UUUUUUUUUUUUUUUUUUUUUUUGUUGAAUUUCAAACAUUAAAUGUUAAAGUAUAUUUUAAAUGUCAUUGCUGCCCUCCCCUUUUUUGAAAUGUAUUAGGCAAAAAUGUAAUGCUCAGUUGUAAAACAUUGUAUUUUCAAAUGUGUAACAAGCUUUUCACAUAUCAAGUCGUUUUUGUUAAGUUUCUAGGAUUCCUCAAAAAAAACAGUGACUAUAAAACUUUUGACUGUAAUUAAAUUUUUAUGAAUUAAACUUUUAAAGUAGUUAAAAAACAAAAGUAGGACCCAAAGUAAAAACUGUUUCAAACACAUGUUUGUUAUUUGUUGUGAUAUAUUAUGUACAGAACUAAAUACUAUACCUACCUAUAUAUAUAUAUAAAUCUACUUGAUCAAAUAUCAAUAUUUAAAAAAAAAAUGUAUUGUUGCUGCCUUUUCUUGUUCCAUUUCUUGAAGCCUACCUUAUGGUAGCUGUGGGAUGGUGACAGUUGUUGUGGGAAUGGGUCACUUAGUGUAAAUAACAGACAAGCUUGGCAGCGGACAGAACUAGUUGUUGUUAAUUCUCAGACAUUGUAGCAUAGAUUUGUUUUCAAAGUUCAAUGUGCCAAGAGUUGUUCUUUUUUUUUUUUUUUGUAAUGUUG